rnacentral:lncRNA from 1 species
GUUUUGUACUUUUGUGCAAUACCUCAUAUUAAAAAAGAUAUUUCUAGAUUACUAAAAUAGCUACUUUCUUCUUUACAAAGAAUAAAUAGACCUAAUUGAGGCAAAAAUUAAAUUCAACAACAAGUCGGUCUUCGUUCACAUAACAGAUCGCAUAAUUAGAUUCUAGACUAGGCUUAGCCAACUCGGCUUCUUCGUCGGCGAGUGGUGAGUUGUUGUGUUGAGUGAGAUCUGAGAACAGGAUCCGAUGCAAUAGAAUAGAGUCAAGAUUGCAACUGAGGACACGAGAGUUGAGGACACCACCGGGUUCACGUAGGCCUACGUCUGUGGUCCAUCAAUCACCAACAAGGGACUUUGUUCUUAAGUUCCCAGUAUGAAGAUUCUUUGGAGCAACGCCCAAGGUCUGAAAAGGACAUUCAGAAAAAUUUCCUUUGUCCACAAUGGACUCGUCAGUUCAGGUUACAAAUUUUGUGGCGUUUUUGGCUGUAACUCCUUUUCACCGACUUGCACAAAUGUCGCAAAUGUUCAUGCACCAAUGCUCCAGCCAGGCAGUUUCAAUCACUUCUGCACAUCAUCUGUUCGGCAGAAAGGAGCUCCAGGUUUAAAAUCAAAGGAAGACCCCAGGACUAAAGAUUACUCCGAACUGUAUUUGUUACAAAGGAUAACAUUUUUACGUGUGCUGAGUCGUUUUACAAAAUAUUCUUCCCUUUUCUUUGUAGGAGGAGCACCAAUGUUACUUGCUGCAGCACAGAUAGAAGCAGUUUCUUGGGAUAAUGCUAUUUCUCUAAGUUCUGUGUUAGCAUUUUAUUCGCUUCUGUUCACUUGUCAAAGUAUUGUCUUUUCUUCAAAAGUCGUUGGAAAAAUAAUGAUCAGUUCCGACGAAAAAUUUCUGAAAAUAUCUCACUUAUCCAUCUUUGGGGCAAGGAGAGAUAUAUAUGUCAGUCCAAAUGAUUUGGUUCCCACAACAAGAGAUGUUUUUGCCAGUAAUAUUACAACUCUUAGAAUAAAAAACUUUAGUAAGACCUUGUUCUUUCUUCCAAAACAGGGAGGUCUGGACACAGAUUAUGAAGCUCUUGAAAAGCUUCUCAUUAGAUAAUAUGCGAGUGAUUAAGCAAGUAAUCAGUGAAGCUUGGAUUUUACAAUUAUUUAUGUACAUGUAGGCUAUAUAAAAUGAAUGUAUUUUUGCACUCUGUUGAUGUAGCUGUGAAGGAAACAAAGAUGAAAACUAAUGAACAUUACAAGAAUGUUUAAGUUCCAAGGACCCCUUUAGUAGGCUGUUUCAUAUAUAUUACUCUCGAGUCAACUGUUCCAUGCAAUAGGACAAUGUGUCGAAGUGUUGAUACCUACUACAGUGGAACUCGGAUUCAACGAGGUUGCCGGGCCUGACUUAAAAUCUCGUUGAAUCUGAGUGUUCGUUAUUAUAGCCAACACGAGGUUUUGUAUCAAUACUUACUACAGGCACUGAGCAAGUACAAUGUAAUGUAUGAGGAGAAGUCACAAGUAGUGCCUGAAAUGCCUGCAUAUUGUGAGCUGUGUAAAAAAAAAAGGCCGAUUCGUUCAAAUGCAUAAAAAGUUGUGUUGCUGUGUAGAGCCUAUAGCAUAUGGUAACUUUUGAUUCCGUAGACCAGCGCACAAUUUUUUACGUAGAUCUACGUCAAGACAAACUUAUCAUUGUAAUAAUGAUCAGUUGCCAAAGGGAAAAAAAA